AAUUAGUAUUUCCGGGGUCGUGGUUGUCUCGUAGUCACGCUGCCAGUGCCAAAACCAAAACCAAACAGUUGACAGUCACUAACAGACGAAUAGGUGGCGUUUAGAGUUAUGUGGUGGUGUUUUUCUUGAGGCUCAGAGAAGCACAGUUAUGAAGAAUAGAGGUGCAGGUUGGCUGGAUGGUCGGCUCAGACAGAGAGUGGAGCAGUAUCUGGCGUCCAGCAACAGUGAAUAUGUGGACCUGUCGGCCUUGGCAGAGGAGCUUCAGAAACUGUACAGAAUGGAAUAUGGCAGAAGGAACAAGACAGCUUUCAGGAUUCAAGUGGAGAAAGUGUAUGAAGCAAUCAUGAAGGAGUCUGGGCUGAACGACCUGGAGAGCAAACACUUGGCUAAGAGAGCCAAGCACAGCCACAAUGACACUGGUGAUGGUGGCAGCAGCAGCUCAGAAGAGUCCUCCGACAGUGAUGACCACAUUCUGGAGAACACUCCCACCAACCACAUGAACAGCUCUCUAACAUCCCUGUACCGAAAGGGACAGCCUGACUCCAGCACCUGCUCACCCAGGAGAGAUCAGCCUGCUGCCGGCAGUCCCGCCAGCACGGCCAAUCCCCCUCCCAGUGCAGGGACGCUGGUUUCCACAGGAGGCUGGUUCAUUGAUAGAGGCAGGGGCCCCGAGAAGAGCAUCCUCAUCGACCUGUGUGAAGAGGAGCCAAGUAAUGCAGCAACAAAUCAGACAGAUGUCUCCAUGCUGGAGCCUGACAAAUCUCACAAAAAGUCCAAAAGAAGGACAAAGAAAUCCACUGAAACUACAGAGUCUCGCACCCUGAACAAGACAGCAAAAUCAAAGUCACCGGAGCUGCAGUAUCCCACUCUGAAGUUUGAAGAUGUAGGAGGGAAUGAAGAGACGUUAACGGAGGUCUGUAAGCUGCUGAUCCACAUUCGUCACCCUGAGGUGUACCAGCAGCUGGGAAUGGUUCCUCCGAGGGGCUUCCUCCUCCACGGACCUCCUGGCUGUGGAAAGACCCUUCUGGCCCAGGCUGUGGCUGGGGAGCUGCAGCUGCCCAUGUUGAAGGUGUCUGCUCCAGAGCUGGUGUCUGGAGUGUCUGGGGAGUCUGAACAGAAGCUCAGAGAGCUGUUUGACCUGGCUGUGAGCUCUGCCCCAUGUAUCCUGUUCAUAGAUGAGAUAGAUGCCAUCACCCCCAAGAGAGAGGUGGCCUCCAAAGACAUGGAGAGGAGGAUUGUAGCCCAGCUGCUAACCUGCAUGGACGACUUGAACAGUCUGACAGUGACAGCUCAGGUACUGGUCAUCGGUGCCACCAACAGGCCAGACUCCCUGGACCCCGCCCUCCGCAGAGCCGGACGCUUCGACAAAGAGAUCUGCCUGGGUAUCCCCGAUGAAGCAGCUCGUCUCAGGAUCUUAAAGACAUUGUGUCGAAAGCUGAAGCUGCCGGUGGACUUUGACUACCAGCAGCUUGCCCGGCUCACCCCGGGCUACGUGGGCGCAGACCUCAUGGCUCUGUGCCGCGAAGCUGCCAUGAGCGCUGUAAACCGGGCUCUGCUGGACAUUAGGGGACAGCCCCGGAGCCAAAGCCAGAGCUCCACUGAAGAUCUGUUACCAAGCACAGUUCAGUCUGAUGCUGCUGCGAUAGACGGAGAGGCCGCAGAGCAACAGACAACGAUCAACCCAGUACCUCAGAAAGAGUUGGGACAGAAGCACCUGCAGCAGGGGGAGCUGUGGCAGCUGCUUGACCUGCUGAAGAACACAGAGAUGCUGUCAGAGGAAGAGCUGGCAAGCCUGUCCAUCCUCAUGUCAGACUUCCAGGCCUCUCUGGCCAGUGUCCAGCCCUCAGCCAAGAGGGAGGGCUUCGCCACCGUGCCUGAUGUCACCUGGGAGGAUGUGGGCGCCCUGCAGGACAUCAGGGAGGAGCUCACCAUGGCCAUACUGGCUCCAGUGCGUUCUCCAGAGCAGUUCAAAGCCCUGGGGCUCAGUGCUCCAUCUGGUGUGCUGCUCGCUGGUCCUCCAGGAUGUGGAAAAACACUGCUGGCCAAGGCAGUGGCCAAUGAGUCAGGCCUCAACUUCAUCUCUGUCAAGGGUCCAGAGCUGCUCAACAUGUAUGUGGGAGAAAGUGAGCGGGCUGUCAGACAGGUCUUCCAGAGAGGACGCAACUCGGCUCCUUGUGUCAUCUUCUUUGAUGAGAUCGAUGCUCUGUGUCCUCGGCGCUCAGGCCAUGAGUCAGGAGCCAGUGUGCGGGUGGUCAACCAGCUGCUCACAGAGAUGGACGGCUUAGAGACUCGACGGCAGGUCUUCAUCAUGGCUGCAACCAACAGACCAGAUAUCAUCGACCCUGCCAUACUGAGGCCAGGGCGGCUAGAUAAAACCUUGUAUGUGGGUCUCCCACCUCCAGCAGACCGCCAUGCCAUCCUACUCACCAUUACUAAGGGGGGAACCAAACCUCAGCUGGAGCAGGAUGUCUCUCUGGAAGAGAUCGCCUUCGACGAGCGCUGUGAUUGCUUCACUGGAGCUGACCUGACUGCGUUAGUGAGGGAAGCAUCUAUUAAUGCUCUGAGGGCCUACCUGAAGUCUCAGCAUUCCCCAGCUUCUUUUUCCGAAUGCAGCAUAUACCAAGCAGGAACGUGUCUCAUGCUGAGGUGUUCCACACAGGUCACACAUACUGCUCUGGCUCUGUCACUGACAUGAGAGUGAACAAACAGAACUUUGAUGAUGCCUUCAAGAAAGUCCGUCCAUCUGUGUCCAAAAAGGACCAGAGGAUGUACGAGCAGCUCAGAGACUCCCUCAGCAGAUAAGUUCCAUCCCAGAACCACCAACAUCACCAGCAACAGUUCAACUUGUACACUGACUUGUUUAAUGAAUCAUUCUGUCAUGUAUGUAUACAGAUGCAUUAUGGUUGAAUCUGCUUUUAUAAUAAAAGUUGUUUGUAGAAACCAAA